rnacentral:rRNA from 1 species
CAACGUAGGGCGCAAGCGUUGUCCGGAAUUAUUGGGCGUAAAGAGCUCGUAGGCGGACUGUCACGUCUGCUGUGAAAAGCUGGGGCUUAACCCUGGCCUUGCAGUGGAUACGGGCAGACUAGAGGUAGGUAGGGGAGAAUGGAAUUCCCGGUGUAGCGGUGAAAUGCGCAGAUAUCGGGAGGAACACCGGUGGCGAAGGCGGUUCACUGGGCCUUACCUGGA